UUCACUUUCCACGCAAUGAGGUAUUCCGGAAAGAGAAAAAGGAAAAUAAAUCUUAUUCCGCAUCUUAAUAUCUGGCAACUUAUUAUUGCAUCUUCCACAUUCUACCUCCCAUGGUUCUUCCAACCACUUUCUUCUAAAAUCAGAAGCAAGAUGGGUUCCUGAACUUCUUUUGAUGGUGUACGUUUCUUCCACCAAGGUAUAUCCUUUUACUAAUCUGUUAAUUUCAAUGUUAAAGCAUAUCUUAAUUUCAAACCCAAUUAGUAUUUGCGUUUUUUUUCUCUUUCUUUUUUGUGAUUGUCUCUGCUUCUGAGUUCUCUAGGUUUCAGUUCUCUGGUUCUUAUCUCCCGUCUCUCUAUCUUUUCUUUCUCCUGCCUCUGUAUCUUCAGUCCUCAAACGGAAUUGUAUCAUAGAACAGGAGAGGUUUUUUAUAACCUUAUCGGUUCGAUCCCAGUGGGAGUUAGGGUUUGCUUCUUUCUGUCUUAUUCGUUUUUUCUUUUUCUUUUUUUUUUUUUUUGAUAUUUUUUUUAUCUAUUUCGACGUUUUUUGAUUUUGUAGGUUAAGGUUUUCUAAGUCGCAGCAAACAUAGGCUAGGUUGGCUACUUUUCUGUAUUUUGUUUACAUUUUGGUCUUUGGAGUUCUCUUGAUUUUAAAGGAGUUAGAUAAGGAUUUGUCUCAUUGUUGUCCGAGCUCAUGAAUUCCCGAACAGAAUCAAUAAUGACAAUAGUCACGAUCUGUUCGUCUUUUUUUUUAAUCAAUUUUUGGUAGUUUGUGAAUGAGCUUUUUAGUUUUGAGUUCUUGAAAAUGAUGUGUUUCGUGUACUUCUCUCACAUUGAAAGGGAAGAAGAACAUUAGACAACUGAUUAUAUUACAAGGUAUUAACCACUGCUUACAAUAUUUUCUUAUGUUUACUUUCCACUAUCAAUCUGUACGAAUAUACUUAUAAACGAGUGACCUCUCCAUUGGUCCUGCUAAGUUUAUGUUGAGACUUCAUGCCAAGUUUAUUUCAUUUCCAUGAUAUAUAUAUAUAUAUAUACAUAUAUUUUUUGCGACAUCAUGUCUAUCAAUGUGGUAGAGGUAGCUUAAUAUGCUCAAACUUUUGAUAUAGUUAAGUUCUAUAGAUGCAAUUCAGAUGCGUCCUAAUUUUCUGCCACAUGGGUGAUUUAUUCACUCUUUUGUGUUUCGUAACUUGAAUUUUGUUGUUGUUGCAAGACCACUGUAUCUGUGACCAGUCUUCCCACAUCUCUCAGGGAUGCUUCGAAGGUGAGGGUUAUUCUCUUUAAACCUAAUCACGCAGCAGCUGUCAAUUAAGGUAAUGUGAUGUUGUUCAUGAGUUUCGUUGACAACUCCAAGGUAUAACACAAUGGUGGAACGAACAUGGAUGGGGUUGUAGCUAACUAAGGCAUUACGUGCAUCCAAUACUUUUGGUUGCUGUUAUAUGUGUUUGUGUGUGUCUAUUCCUUAAGAACUCACUUGACAUUAGCUCUCUUCAAGUGGGACAAUCUGUAUUUCUGCACAAGUCAAGUCCAACCGAGGCACACCAAAUCAAAAAGGCAUCUCGACGGGCAGGGCGAAGCUGUACAACACCAAAUAAAAAAUGCAUCGCAAUGGGGCGAGGCGAAGCCGAAGCGGAACAACACCUAAUCAAAAAGGAUCGUGAUGGGCGGGGCGAAGACGGGCAACACCAAAUCAAAAAUGCAUCGAGACGGGGCGACGUGAAGCCGAAGCUGAAGCCGAGCAACACCUAAUAAAAAAUGUAUCGUGAUGGGGCGGGAUGAGACCCCACGACACCUAAUAAAAAAUAUGGCUUAAAUAAAUAAAAAUGCCCGAGCGUAGCACGGGAAGAAAAUCUAGUUGGUUUUGAGUUGGAAGCCUACACACUUCUAUCAUGCAUCAUAAAGAGGUCCAUAUGAGGAAUUCCCAAAGGGAUACCCAUAUGCACGGUCCAUGUGAUAGAGGUUUUAAAGACCCUACACGUGGAAGGGGAGGCCCAAAGGGAUACCCAUAUGCACGGUCCACAUGAUAGAGGUUUUAAAGACCCUACACGUGGAGGGGGAGGGGCGUAUUGGAGAUUAGUCCCACCUAGAACAAACCCUCUAGCAUGGUGCACAACAUAAGGUGUGGAUCCACUCCACUCAUUGUCAAUUGGUUUUGAGUU